GGGAUGUGGGGACAAAUCACAUGCAUAUGACCACCAAAAAGGGAGCUGAUGUCAAACGGUAUCCCAGAGGCUGGCCUGGCCAAGCUCCUCAGACAGUCUCCAUCUUCUCUAUGAUUUAAAAGCUGCAAAGAGUAUGAAUGUUGUGAGAGACAAUUUUGAUGGUGUAAGUCUUAUAAGAAGUCUGGGAAAGAAUAAUGGCAAAAGCCCCUUUUCACCAACUAAGAAAGAAAUUACAGCCUUUCCAAAAUUCCUACCCAUAAGUCCAUGAGAUGUAAACUGGGAUAUUCAGUUAUAAAAGGAAAAGAAAUACGUGAGGUUCCCAAAGCAGGAUUUGCUCUUUAGUGCUGGGAAUUGCCAAUCAAAUGAGAGCUGUGUGCCUAGGAGGUUCAUGAAUUGCCUCCAAAGAACAAACCCCACUCGGAAACUACGGACGAAGGUUCAGAAUGUCAUCCUUAGCUCCAAUUGCUGGCUACUUAAAAAGUAUGACUAUUUUCUCUUUCACACACAUACACAGGCACAUCCACAUACACAGUCCAUAAAGGGUUUUCCAGCAUCAGGUGGCUUUUAACUUAACUAGUUUCAGGGAGGUAUAA
rnacentral:lncRNA from 1 species